ACCAUCCUUUUCUUGGGGUUGCGCUACUGUCCAAUGAGCGCAUAGUGAGGGCAGUACUGCUAACGCCUGAACAACACACCCGCAUCAACUAGAGCUUUUGCUUUAUUUUGGUGCAAUUUUUGGAAAA
rnacentral:ncRNA from 10 species